rnacentral:rRNA from 1 species
CAGCCGCCGCGGUAAUACGUAGGGUGCAAGCGUUAAUCGGAAUUACUGGGCGUAAAGCGUGCGCAGGCGGUUAUAUAAGACAGAUGUGAAAUCCCCGGGCUCAACCUGGGAACUGCAUUUGUGACUGUAUAGCUAGAGUACGGCAGAUGGGGAUGGAAUUCCGCGUGUAGCAGUGAAAUGCGUAGAUAUGCGGAGGAACACCGAUGGCGAAGGCAAUCCCCUGGGCCUGUACUGACGCUCAUGCACGAAAGCGUGGGGAGCAAACAGGAUUAGAGACCCCAGUAGUCCCUGUCUCUUAUAA